rnacentral:lncRNA from 10 species
UCUGCACCAUCUGAACCAUCAGUCACUCUCUGGCCCAGAGAGGUGGUGUUAUUUGCCAAGGACACACAGCAGGUGGCCAAGAUGGAGCCAAGCCAUUUUCCCCACUGCAGGGGCUCAGCUAAUACCUCGAUCACCCACAGUGGAGGUGAGAGCCUGCCCACUCUCUAACACUUCUGUGGCCCAGACUAUCCCCACAUCUUACCUUUUGCUCCAGCUCUUUCCUGGCUGUCAGCUCCGAGUCCAGCCUCUCCUCGCAUUGCUGCAGACGCUUUCUGAGGAACUCGUUCUCCAUCUGAGCACAGUCGAAGCGCAUCUGCCACUCGUCUGCUGUUUAACGGAGUCAGGGAGACCAGGAUAAGAGGCCAAAUGAGUGUAAGGCAAGAGUGUGAGUGGCUCUCCUCCACUUUCUUGGCUCUUGGCAUGCAAUUUCACAAUAUUCACAGAGCCCUUGAGCCUCAACCUUGGACCAAGAAACUAUGCUUUAACUCUGAGUUUUAAAUAACGCUUCCUCCAGGCAGCCUGUCCUGACCACCUCCAACUGUCUAAAGUUCUUGAGUGCUCACUCUUCUAAGAUUGGUUGCCUUAUACUGUUUAGUUGUCUCUAUAAGUGUAUUCAUAUCUUCCCUUUUCCAA